UCUAGAUCUUUGUAGGGGUAUUCAAAAGUUUAACGAAUGGAGGGGAGGGGCACCAAGGACGCACCUCCCCUAGGGCGGCAUUUGAUGUAGAGAUGGCCCUGCUUAAACCCUCCCUCUAUCUAAUUUGGAGCAAGGACAUGAAGUCAGGUGUCCCAGAGCCACUGAACAAAGCCAUCAAGCUAAGCCUGAGCCUCAGCGUGAGAGACAGAGAAUUAACAUGGCUCCUGGACCCCAGAGCAACACAGGAGAUUGAUUCUCCAAGCGGCCUUCCCAACUUGUAAGCCAAAGGCGAUCCUGUGGGGAUAUAAGGAACACAGAGAGACUAUCUUUAUCCUUCACCUUAGGAGACAAAGGACCCAGGCGAUUUGAUCUCUGUGAUGGAUCCCAGCCAGCAAAUGCUAGAAAGAAGACUGUGGGUUCAGCUUCCAUUCAAGAGUGGGAGCUCAUCCCCAUCUCCAGAAGCUUGGAGGACCACAGAAGAUGCACAAACUAAGAGUGUUUGGUGCCUCAGAAAAUGCUGUAAAACGAGAAUCUGACUAGA